rnacentral:lncRNA from 1 species
CUGUGGUGCUCUCCGUCACACCACUGAGUGUUCUCCCGGAGUGGCAGGUCCUCUGGGGGGGACAGAAUUUCGCCCUGUCAGAUUGACCAGAGCAAAAGACUGUCCCAGACCACUGUGCACACUGGGAGAUGGGCAGCCCAUCUCAUCUGGGCAGGGGAUGGAGGGCAGGGUGCAGAGAGCUGGCAGGCAGGACAGGUCUGGGCUCUGGAAGAAGCCUGUGUGCCGGUGGGGUGCAGGGGGACACAGUCAGAUCCUGGGGUCUGAGAAGUGAUUGGGCAUCCAAAGCCUGUGGAUGGGCAGGAAAACACCUGUCCUACUCCACCAACCCCUGAGCAGCGUGGUCAUCAAUGUCCAAACCACAGCACUGAGGCUAGGGAGGCCAAAGACCCACACUGAGGACACAGCGGUGUCCAGACCAGGUUCUGUGUGACCCUAAAAUAUGGCUUUGGUUUGAAAAAAAAAAAACACUGGGCAUGGCAGAGCCCACUUGUAAUCCCAGCAAUCUGAGAAGCUGAGACAAUAGGAUUGAAAAUUCAAGCCCAGUCUGGACAAUUUAGAGAUUUAGAACAUGUCUCCAAAUUUAAAAAUACAUAAAUAAAAAGGGUUGGAGCUGGGGAUAGUGGGGCACGCCUGUAAUCCCAGCACCUGGGAGGCUGAAGCAAGAGGAUCACUGCAUGUUCGAGGCCAGCUUGGGCUACACAGUGAGUUCAAGCCAGCCUGAACUAAAUAGUGAGAACCUGUCUCAAAAAAAAAAUUAAAAAAAAUAAAAAAGGAGGGUGUAGAUCAGUCCUUAGUAACAAACCAAAGGAAAACCGGAGAGGGAGGGUGGCUCCUAAUCCCCACCUGCACUUGGACGCCUACCCGCAGUCAAGGUGGGUUUUUCAUAUGAGCUGCAAGAGCUGGAGUGACAGGUACGGCUGAAGCCCACAGCACCUGCCUGUGUGACUACAGGGGUUCUCGGGCUCUGUCAAAUGGUGACCGACUCUCAUGACUCCUGCUUUUGUCAAGAUUAGGAACACAGCCAGGGGGUUCUGAAAGAGGUCAGCAUGGAAGCCAGGCCCCGGAAGGUUACCAGGUCCAUGCUCAGCCCUCCCGCUCUGGGUUGUUUUUUUGUCGUUUUUUUUUUAAGUUAACAAAAUCCAAACAGACUCGUUGGUUCCUGGAAGGCUGAGUCACGUUCCCGGCCAGGCCAGGCAGCUCUGGGUGUUGGGUUUCAGAUGCCCUCACACCAUCCAGUGCAGGCCAGCUGGGCCUUAGGCAGGGCUGGCAGUGUCCCACUGGGCCGAGAUUCCAAAGGGGACAGGCCUGAGUGGCCCCAAGAAGAUGUGGGGGCCAGGGCCAGUACCCAGUGCCCCCCCCAUACUGCCACAUGCUGGACCCAACCCCAUCUUUGCCUGUCACCUCUGUUGUCUUGGGUGGGGAGCACUGAGACUCACCCCAGGUACAUCCUUCUCAGCAUGGGGGGAGGCUGUAUACCCCCAACCUGGGGCUCCCCAGAUAUAUUCCUAACACACACCCCAAUCCUAGAAGCUUCUCUGGACACAGGACCCUGGAAAGGCCUGGAUGGGGUCCUUCUCUCCACAAUGGUGAAAUUAGGUGGCUUAGCCAGGCAGGUAGCAGACACUUUGUCAUCCUAGCAUUCAGGAGGCUGAGGCAGGAGGAUCACUGUGAGUUCAAGGCCAGCCUGGGCUACACAGUAAGUUCAAGGCCAACUAUAUAGCAAAGCCUUGUCUCAAAAAACCAAACCCUAGCAUUUGGGAGGUUAGGGCAGGAGGAUUGCUGUGAGUUCAAAGCCAGCUUGAGCUACAUAAGGAGACCCUGUCUCAAAAAACAAACAAAAAACCAAACCAAAAGGGGGGGGGGUGACACCUGUUCUCUGGAGUGGGUGUCCUGUGCAUUGCAGGGUGCUGAGCAGUGUCUCUGGCUUCUACUAGUUCCACACCAGGCGUUCCACCAGUGCUACAGCCACACACAUCUCCAGACACUGCCCAGGGCGUGGGGGGCCAAAGAGCCUGGGGGAAUCCACUGAUGAGGAGAAGAUGGAGGCAUUGGAGAGGUCUUCGAAGUAGGAGUCCUGGAAAACAGGCCUUGGUGAGGAGGCGGCCAGGUGUGCAGGGUGGGGGGCAAAGAGCGCUGAGGUCCAACCAUGUGGUGGAAUAUUACUCAGCCAGAAAAAGGAGUGAGGCUGACACUCAACACAGUGUGGAUGGACCUUGAGGACACCAUGCUCGGCGAGGAACGCCAGACAGAAGGACACACAGUGUGGGCUCCAUGGACAGGAAAUGCCUAGGACAGGCAACUCCAGAGACAGGAAGUGGAUCUGUGGGUGCUGUGGCUGGAGAUGGGAUGGGGGUGAUAGGUCAUGGGGAACCGAAAAACGGGCGAUGAAAGUGUUCUCAAACUGUUGCUUACAGAGCCAUGAAUACAUUAAAAUUACUGAAUUAUGUGUUUUAAACAAAUGAAUUAUAUAUGAAUUACAUCUCAAUCAAGUUAUCUAAAAGAAAAAAAAACAACCAAGACUCCAAGUCUGCAAAGCCCGGCACAGGGAGCAGCUCAGCAGGGGUGAGGGUGGACAAGGGGACCC